AGUGAACGCUGGCGGUAGGCCUAACACAUGCAAGUCGAACGGCAGCACAGAGGAGCUUGCUCCUUGGGUGGCGAGUGGCGGACGGGUGAGGAAUACAUCGGAAUCUACUCUGUCGUGGGGGAUAACGUAGGGAAACUUACGCUAAUACCGCAUACGACCUACGGGUGAAAGCAGGGGACCUUCGGGCCUUGCGCGGUUGAAUGAGCCGAUGUCGGAUUAGCUAGUUGGCGGGGUAAAGGCCCACCAAGGCGACGAUUCGUAGCUGGUCUGAGAGGAUGAUCAGCCACACUGGAACUGAGACACGGUCCAGACUCCUACGGGAGGCAGCAGUGGGGAAUAUUGGACAAUGGGCGCAAGCCUGAUCCAGCCAUACCGCGUGGGUGAAGAAGGCCUUCGGGUUGUAAAGCCCUUUUGUUGGGAAAGAAAUCCAGCUGGCUAAUACCCGGUUGGGAUGACGGUACCCAAAGAAUAAGCACCGGCUAACUUCGUGCCAGCCGCCGCAGUAA
rnacentral:rRNA from 1 species